rnacentral:lncRNA from 1 species
AUGGAGAAAGUCGUUUAUGGGACAAUGCUAAAAUUGAUAGAGAUGUUCGCAUUAUGAUGCACAGUUCUGAGAAAAUUGUCCUGAUGGUUGUAAUCGCAUAGUUAUAUUGUUUAGUCCUUGUAUUUGUUUGUCUUGUUGUUUAAAUUAUUGUUUACUUGUUAUUUAAAUUUUUGUAACUGAAUGUUAUGAUAUUUAUGAAAUGAAUGUUGCUUUCAAUAUAAA